AACGAACGCUGGCGGCAGGCUUAACACAUGCAAGUCGAACGCCCCGCAAGGGGAGUGGCAGACGGGUGAGUAACGCGUGGGAAUCUACCCAGUUCUACGGAACAACUGAGGGAAACUUCAGCUAAUACCGUAUACGCCCUACGGGGGAAAGACUUAUCGGAAUUGGAUGAGCCCGCGUUGGGUUAGCUAGUUGGUGAGGUAACGGAUCACCACGGCGACGAUCCAUAGCUGGUCUGAGAGGAGGAUCAGCCACACGGGGACUGAGACACGGCCCAGACUCCUACGGGAGGCAGCAGUGGGGAAUAUUGGACAAUGGGCGCAAGCCUGCCCCAGCCAUGCCGCGUGAGUGAUGAAGGCCUUAGGGUUGUAAAGCUCUUUCAGUGGGGACGAUAAUGACGGUACCCACAGAAGAAGCCCCGGCUAACUUCGUGCCAGCAGCCGCGGUAACAC
rnacentral:rRNA from 1 species